UACGAAGGGUUCAAGCGUUACUCGGAAUUACUGGGCGUAAAGCGUGCGUAGGUGGUUCGUUAAGUCUGUCGUGAAAGCCCCGGGCUCAACCUGGGAAUGGCGAUGGAUACUGGCGGGCUAGAGUGCGGUAGAGGGUGGUGGAAUUCCCGGUGUAGCAGUGAAAUGCGUAGAGAUCGGGAGGAACAUCAGUUGCGAAGGCGGCCACCUGGACCAGCACUGACACUGAGGCACGAAAGCGUGGGGAGCAAACAGG
rnacentral:rRNA from 1 species